CCCACAGCAGUGCGGCCUCGGCGCUGUGCGCGCCAACUCGCCCCGGACCCGCGCGGGAGGCGGGGGGCGGGCGCGCGCGGCGGGAACCGGUCGGAUCCCGCCGCACAGGUGCGAUCGCGGCGACCGGGUCACUCACUCGAUGAAGUAGCUGGCUCCCUCCUCCGUGAAGCCCUCCUCCCAGCCGCGGGGCAGGUCUGCGGAAAUGCCAAAAAAGUCGGGUCAAACUUGAGCCGCUCGAGCGCGCGCCUCCCGAGCGCUGCCCCCCAACCCCGCCGGCCCGGCUCCCACCUGAGCGGAUCAUGUGGCCGGAGUUGACUGGCUCCCCGGUGCGCGGGUGCAGCCAGGUUGUGCGGCGGAGCUCGUCACUGCGGGAGAGAGGUGCACCUGUUAGCGCCGCCGCGGCUCCGGGGACGCCCGCCCGGCCCCGCACCCCGCCCGGCCCCCGCCCACGCCCGCGUGCCCGCUUGCCCGCGUCGCACUUUAUGAAGAAGACGCGGCCGUCCCGGCACACGCCGUAGGACCAGUGCUCAGGCACAGAGGAGAGACUGUGUGAGGACUCAUGGAGGAGACUGCCAUCUGCAAACCAGGAAGAAAGGCCUCAUCCUGCUGGCACCUGGAUCUCAGACUUCCAGCCUCCAGAAUGGAGCAGAAGAGAGAGCGCAAGAAAGCAGAAGCAGGGGGAGCAGGAGAGGGAGAAGCAGACUCCCUGCUGAGCAGGAAGCCUGAUGCCCCUGCCUCAAUCCCAGAACUCCAGCAUCGGGACCAAAGCUGAAAGCAGGUGCUUAACCAACUGAGCCACCCAAAUGUUCCUGUACCCAGAACUACCUGGACCCUCCCCUCAUGUAGUGAUUUUGUGGGUCAGGUCAGUGCUUCUCAAACGUUGAUGGCUAUCAGAAAUGCCCAGGGGAGUGCCUCGCUGCCUCAGCUGGAAGAGCAUGCAAUUCAUGGUCUCGGGUUGUGAGUUGGACCCCACAUUGGGAGUAGAGAUUACUAUGAAAAAUAAAUAAAAUUAAAAAAAAAAAAAAAAAAGAAAGAAAGAAGAAAAGAAAAGAAAAGAAUGCCCAGGGUAAGGUUUGGCCCUUACCCUGGUUAUGGUGGGCUAUGUGAGGCCUCAGAUUCUGCAUUUUAAUAAGUGAUAUCCCCACCAGGUGAUUCUGUUGAAGGUGGUCCCAGACCGCGCUUUGAGAAACGCCACUCUGCUCUCAGCCUGCGGGUUCAGAGAGAUAUGGCAGGGAGCUGGUGACCCACAAAACAUACAUAAAAGUUCUACAAAGAUAUGCAAAAAACACUGUCAGCCUCUGAGGAGGCUUGAGGGUCUGCUAUGAGAGGGAGGUUUAUUUUUAAAUUUUUGUUUUAUUUUAUAUUUUUAAUUUUAUUUAUUUAAAGAUUUUAUUUCUUUAUGUGUGAGAGAGAGCACGAACAGUGGUGGGGGAGGCAGAGAGAAAAGCAGAUUCCCCACUGAGCAGGAGUCCCACCUGGGGGCUCUAUCCCAGGAUCCACACCCCCCCUCCAUCAUGACCUGAGCCCAAGGCAGAUGCUUAACUGACUGAGCCAGCCAGGCACCCCUGUUUCGUGUUUUUUACCCUUAAGAAUGUACUAUUUUUCAAUUUAAAAACUAAUUGGAGGGGCACCUGGGUGGCUCAGUCACUUAAGCGCCUGGUUCAGGUCAUGAUCCCAGCGUCCUGGGAUCCAGCCCCACGAUUCCAGCCCCACGUCAGGCUCCCUGCUCAGUGGGGGGCCUGCUUCUCCCUCUGCCUACAGCUCUGCCUGCUUAUGCUCUCUCUUUGUCAAAUAAAUAAAUAAAAUCUUAAAAAAAAAAAAAAAACUAACUUGAAAAGAGAGAUCAUGAACUUGAAGAGCUUGUUAUUGGCAUGUUGCUCCACAAACAGGUGCUCAACAAGUAAAAAAUUCCUUUUGUCGGGGUGCCUGGGUGGCUCAGUGAGUUAAAGCCUCUGCCUUUGGCUCAGGUCAUGAUCUCAGGGUCCUGGGAUCCAGCCCCACAUCAGGCUCUCUGCUCAGCGGGGAUCCUGCUUCCCUUCCUCUCUCUCUCUUCUCUGCCUGCCUCUCUGCCUCCUUGUGAUCUCUGUCUGUCAAAUAAAUGAAUGAAAUCUUUAAAAAAAAAAAAUUCCUUUUGCCAUCUUCCACUCAAACAUUUGCCAUCCCUGCCCUUGCCUCCCUCCUGCGCCCAACAGUAUCUCCAUGUGUGCAUUUGAUUAGCAAAUACUAAUUUAAUGUGUAUUCCAGGCACUAUUCUUUUUUUUUUUUUUAAGAUUUUAUUUAUUUAUUUGACAGAGAGAAAUCACAAGUAGAUGGAGAGGCAGGCAGAGAGAGAGAGGGAAGCAGGCUCUCCGCUGAGCAGAGAGCCCGAUGCGGGACUCGAUCCCAGGACUCUGAGAUCAUGACCUGAGCCGAAGGCAGCGGCUUAACCCACUGAGCCACCCAGGCGCCCUCCAGGCACUAUUCUAACAGUACAGCUGCUCCCAUAAAACAGACGGUCCCU